rnacentral:rRNA from 1 species
GACGAACGCUGGCGGCGUGCUUAACACAUGCAAGUCGAGCGGAAAGGCCCUGCUCUUGCGGGGCGCACGUGUGGCGAGCGGGUGUGUAAAACGUGAGUAAACUCCCCUUGACUUUGGGAUAACACCUGGAAACUGGGGCUCAUACCGGGUAUGAGCUCCUGAUGCAUAGGGGGGGUUGGAAAGUUUCGGCGGUUGGGGAAGGUCUCGCGGGUUCUCCGCUUGUUGGGGAGGUAGGGGCUUACCAGGGGUUUGACGGGUAGCCGGCCUGGGAAGGUGACCGGGCACAUUGGGACUGAGAUACGGCCCAGACUGCUACGGGCGGCAGCAGGGGGGAAUAUGGCACAAUGGGCGGAAGCCAGAUGCAGCAACGCCGCGUGCGGGAUGACGGGCUUCGGGUUGUAAACCAAUUUCUCCUUUGCCGAAGCGUGAUUGACGGUAAUUGGUAAGGAAGCAACGGCUAACUACGUG